GCCUCAGUGGUUUAGUGGUAGCAGCGAGCGUCCCCGGUAUGGAUGGAAGGCGGGUUCGAUUCCCACUUAAGGCC